UACGGGGGGGGGCAAGCGUUGUUCGGAAUUACUGGGCGUAAAGGGCUCGUAGGUGGCCAACUAAGUCAGACGUGAAAUCCCUCGGCUUAACCGGGGAACUGCGUCUGAUACUGGAUGGCUUGAGGUUGGGAGAGGGAUGCGGAAUUCCAGGUGUAGCGGUGAAAUGCGCAGAUAUCAGGAGGAACACCAAUGGCGAAGGCAGCUCGCUGGGACGUGACUGACGCUGAGACGCGAAAGCGUGGGGAGCAAACAGG
rnacentral:rRNA from 1 species